rnacentral:rRNA from 1 species
UACGUAGGUGACAAGCGUUGUCCGGAUUUACUGGGCGUAAAGAGCGCGCAGGCGGUCGAUCAAGUCGGGUGUGAAAGCCCCGGGCUCAACCUGGGAAUUGCAUUCGAGACUGCAUUGCUGGAGUACGGAAGAGGAAGGCGGAAUUCCCGGUGUAGCGGUGAAAUGCGUAGAUAUCGGGAGGAACAUCAGUGGCGAAGGCGGCCUUCUGGUCCAGUACUGACACUCAAGUGCGAAAGCGUGGGGAGCAAACAGG